rnacentral:lncRNA from 1 species
ACGGCUCGAACGUAGCAAUCUUCCCAUGAGCGUAAGUAUACUUAAGCUUACAGUUGUUUGUUCCCACCAUGUGAUUAACAGAGAGUUUGUUAGAAGGAUCAAUCAAAAGGCUCCCAUCCACGAUUGUUCUGUUAUCAGCUCUGCUAUGUAUGUAAGUCAGAUUCAAUGGCUUCUCAGCAAUCCUUACUGUGUUCAUGAACUGAAACCUAACAUCCUGUAACCACACAAAUGGAUUCCCUAGGAAUAAUCGUAAGCAAUCUCCAUGGAAACUGAAAUCAAUCAAAAGAGGAGGAAGGUGAAAGAGUUACUUUCUUGGGGACGUUGUACUCGACGAUGAAGAAACCAGGCUUCUCCACGGCGAGAGAGAGGCCGUUCAAGGUAGGC